rnacentral:lncRNA from 1 species
GCAAAUUUAAACUCAAAUUUUACAGCUCCAAUGGACUGCCUGCUACCAGAGAUGUGAUCCAUCUCUGGAAACCUCCACAAGCAGCAGCCUUCCCCAGUGACUGGACAGGGAUUCAAAUCAUCUCAGUUAUGGGCUUCAACAGACACCAGAAAGCUGUCUAGUACCUUGGUCAGAGCCAGCAGCCCAAGACACCUAAGGGUGACUGGUAUAAAUGAAGGUUCUACUUACAAGAUGUUCAGCUCUCCCCAGAAGGAGGGAAUCAGAGCCGUGUUUAUCUGGGACUUUCUGCUCUUCCACAAAGCAGGAGAGAGUGGAAAGCCCAGAGAGCCUCACAUGGACCUGGUGGGAGAUAUCAAAUGAGAAAAUGAGAAACAUGGGAAAGUGAGACCAUGCAGCAAGCCUGAGCUCAAGACUCCCUCUUGCUCAUGCUCAUUAAAUCCUUCCUUUUGAAUGUGGCUCUGCAUCACCAUUGCUGGCUGGCAGGUAGGUGGAGAGAGUGUGCACAGCUCCAUGGAAAACUCUACCUCAGUCACCAGGCUUCUGCACCUUAGCCACUGAGGAGAAGCACCAUGGCAAGAAGGAAACCCCAGUGAGCAGGAAGCCUU